rnacentral:rRNA from 1 species
UCGAACGGUAACAGGAAGCAGCUUGCUGCUUCGCUGACGAGUGGCGGACGGGUGAGUAAUGUCUGGGAAGCUGCCUGAUGGAGGGGGAUAACUACUGGAAACGGUAGCUAAUACCGCAUAAUGUCGCAAGACCAAAGAGGGGGACCUUCGGGCCUCUUGCCAUCGGAUGUGCCCAGAUGGGAUUAGCUUGUUGGUGGGGUAACGGCUCACCAAGGCGACGAUCCCUAGCUGGUCUGAGAGGAUGACCAGCCACACUGGAACUGAGACACGGUCCAGACUCCUACGGGAGGCAGCAGUGGGGAAUAUUGCACAAUGGGCGCAAGCCUGAUGCAGCCAUGCCGCGUGUAUGAAGAAGGCCUUCGGGUUGUAAAGUACUUUCAGCGGGGAGGAAGGGAGUAAAGUUAAUACCUUUGCUCAUUGACGUUACCCGCAGAAGAAGCACCGGCUAACUCCGUGCCAGCAGCCGCGGUAAUACGGAGGGUGCAAGCGUUAAUCGGAAUUACUGGGCGUAAAGCGCACGCAGGCGGUUUGUUAAGUCAGAUGUGAAAUCCCCGGGCUCAACCUGGGAACUGCAUCUGAUACUGGCAAGCUUGAGUCUCGUAGAGGGGGGUAGAAUUCCAGGUGUAGCGGUGAAAUGCGUAGAAAUCUGGAGGAAUACCGGUGGGGAAGGCGGCCCCCUGGACGAAGACUGACGCUCAGGUGCGAAAGCGUGGGGAGCAAACAGGAUUAGAUACCCUGGUAGUCCACGCCGUAAACGAUGUCGACUUGGAGGUUGUGCCCUUGAGGCGUGGCUUCCGGAGCUAACGCGUUAAGUCGACCGCCUGGGGAGUACGGCCGCAAGGUUAAAACCCAAAUGAAUUGACGGGGGCCCGCACAAGCGGUGGAGCAUGUGGUUUAAUUCGAUGCAACGCGAAGAACCUUACCUGGUCUUGACAUCCACGGAAGUUUUCAGAGAUGAGAAUGUGCCUUCGGGAACCGUGAGACAGGUGCUGCAUGGCUGUCGUCAGCUCGUGUUGUGAAAUGUUGGGUUAAGUCCCGCAACGAGCGCAACCCUUGUCCUUUGUUGCCAGCGGUCCGGCCGGGAACUCAAAGGAGACUGCCAGUGAUAAACUGGAGGAAGGUGGGGAUGACGUCAAGUCAUCAUGGCCCUUACGACCAGGGCUACACACGUGCUACAAUGGCGCAUACAAAGAGAAGCGACCUCGCGAGAGCAAGCGGACCUCAUAAAGUGCGUCGUAGUCCGGAUUGGAGUCUGCAACUCGACUCCAUGAAGUCGGAAUCGCUAGUAAUCGUGGAUCAGAAUGCCACGGUGAAUACGUUCCCGGGCCUUGUACACACCGCCCGUCACACCAUGGGAGUGGGUUGCAAAAGAAGUAGGUAGCUUAACCUUCGGGAGGGCGCUUACCACUUUGUGAUUCAUGACUGGGGUGAAGUCGU